UUUUUCUGGUUGAUGGCUUCUAGGGGCGGCCUCCUCUCCCACUCCAGGACUCUACAUUCUCGGAUUUCGAUGAUCACACCCUUCCCCGCGUCCUCCCUCCCCACCCCCACCCCGCCGGCGUCUAGCCGUUUUUUUCCAGAUCCUUCUCCAUCCUCAGGACGCCCAAGCCCGGGCCUGCCUGGCGGCCCGCCCUGUUCACCCAGACCUACAGCGCAGUAGCUGGAUCCGGGCAGCCAGAUGAGAAGUGGCAUGGGUCUGCCUCCCGCGAUUAGACCUCAGACACCCGUGGCGUGGCCUUGGGGUCCUGGGCGUGGGCACCUAAGCAGUGUGGAGAAUAGAGGCCAUGGCAGUGAAAGCGUAGGCCCAGGAAGGAGCAGCUUCAGCCCUGGUGCACAAACUGUGGAACUCGACUUUGUUUUCCCUGCAGCCUGGCAGGCCCACCGAAUGAGUGUUGCUUUCCAAAAUUCAAAAUUCUGUGAGCAGGAGAUCUUGUGAGGGAUGACUCCCUGAGCCAAAGAUUUGUAAGUGGGCUUUGUAUAUCAUACUAACCAGGCUUUUUUGUUAGUACUGGAGCGCAAAAUGGUUUCAGCUCAAGAGAGAAAAAACCCUUUCCCUUCUUACUAAAGAUGGACGGGAAAGAGAUGUUAUCUUCUCAACCACUCUUCCUAAGUGAUAUCUGUGGAGCUCCAAGUCUGCGUGGUUAAAACCGAAAUAGUGCUGGCUUGAUCGGAAGAUCUGCCUGGAGAGGCCCUGAAUCUGCCCUGCACUCUAGUACACGGUUAACACAUAGCGCCUGAAUGACAACAUGGAAGGAGAAACCAUUAAGAACAACAGAAAAGGAUUCUUGAAAGAAACAGAAGUGGAAGCUAGAAAACCUGGAGCAGACCUUCCCAGAAUGAAAACAAAAAUUCAAGAUGCUAAAGAUGAUGAAAAAAAGUCUUAAAAGAAGAAAAGGGAGUGGAAUGCAAGUAGGAUUCAGGUGGGAGACUCCGCCUGUCUGCACCGAAGAUCCAUGCUGCUGUUUGCUUUUGUCAGAGAAGCACCUCUUUGCUCUGGGCUGCAGCAGUUAGUGAAGAAAGAGGCUCGCGCAUAACUGGUCAAGAAUCAGAGACUCUUUGGGAUGCUCAACCCUAAAUGGGACAUCUGUAUCACCCCCUCCAAGGCUCAGGGAACAUUGCGGAAGAGGGGGCGGAAAGAAUGUAAGAGCCAGAGGAAGGGGUAGAGUGAUGUGGAGUACUGUCUUCCAGUCAUGGUGCGGCUGUUGUCCUUUCUGCCUUCCAGCAGCUCUGAUUACCUACAUAAAAUGUGCAUAAUAUUUAACCCACCAACAUUCUGUCAUGGAGCAGGGAGCAUCUGAUGAGGUCCUGGUGGUCCCUGAGGACUUAUAGGCAGUUAAGGGUUGCUAGAGGAGAGAAGGCACCACCCUUCCCUGAGGAUCUAUAGGCAAUUAGUGAUACCUGGGGAGAGUUAGAUACACUUUCUCUAGUGGUAAGCUGUCCUGCUCCUGUAAUAACCCUAACUGAGCUCAUUGAUUCACCAAGGGGAAAACAGGAGGAGGGCUAGUUAAGAAGAAGAGGAUCAGCAGGAGUGAAAGGGUUCAUGGGCGUGAAUGUGGUCAAAGUAUAUUAUAUACAUGAAUGAAAAUGUCCAAGUGUAACCAACUGUUUUGUUAUUGACACAUAUUAAUAAAACCAAAACUUAAAAUAACAAUCAAACAAACAACUUGACCUCUUAAGAGAAUGCCCAUUUGGGGCUUAAUCCUUUCAACAUUGGGGGAUUCUGUUAAAAUAAGACAUGUUGACCAGCGAGAGAAUGUUUAUAUAGCGUGGACAAAGCCCUGGGGUCAGUCCUCAGAACUUCUAAAUAACUGCAAAUGGCAGUUCUGGUAACAUGUUUCAUCUCUACUGUGAAAUGUAGAGCAAAGUCCUUGGAAGAACAUAAGGACUUUCUGCUAUAUUGUGGAGGCCCAAAAAUGUGAGCCGAUUUCUACCUUGUCCAAAGGUCAGAGACUUGGACCUUACCUAUUCCUUCAAGGUUAUUGUGUUUCUACCUCAAACAAAGGUCCCACCUAGAUUUAGACCAGAGAGUUCUGCUCUCUCAAGGUUAUUGUCAACAAGAAUUGACAAUAAUAUAUAGACUCCCUUAAUAUCCUUCUCCCUUAAGGAGAUAUGUAUUCCACCCAGGGAGUGAUUUGCCUACAGAAUGUUAUGGUCUAUGGUGUGAGUAUGACUUGCUUUGUUCUAACAACAGAAUGUUUAACUAUGGAUGUAGCCUGCAACCUUCAACUGUUGGUCUAUUCAUUUUCUUGUAUUAUGUUAAUGCAUUUUUUUAAAUCUUACUCCUCUCUCUUAGGGUAGGGUAUUUUAAGCAACUGGAAAUUAAACAUGGAUGGUUUCAGUAGUCACUGGACCUUCCUCUCAGUACUAUUCUGUGUUUUUGUUUUAUUAUUUUUACAUGUGUCUUUGUAUUCUUAUAUUUCUAAUCCCUACCCCCCUUCCCUGGCAAAUAGUAUUUUUGUUGAGGCUAGUCCAUGACACUACACCACCAGGAUGUUACUUUUUUGAUAGGUCUCCUCCCCUUUUAACCUUCAUUCACAUAGGUGUACAUGUAUGCAUUCGCACACAGGGAUGUAUGUGUAGUACAAUAUUCCGGCUCUAU